UGCACCCAGCUGUGCAAGGACCCUUCAUCUGCAGGGUCCUUGAGCACUUGUGAACACCAUCACUCUGCAGUAUGUGCUAUUGCCCUGUUCGUGGCUCUGCUUUGGAGCUCAGAACAAAACCAGCACAAAACAGAACCCACGUUCCUCAUGCCAGAGGAGCAGGGGCUGGCAUCUCCUGCAGGCAGGCGCUGAUGUACGGAGGAAGUGGGAGCUCCCCUGCCCACAGCACCAAUGGUGAAGAAACUGACAGGAGCAGCAGUCCUAGGAGAGGACCCAUCCCUCUGCUUGUGGGUACUUUUCCACAGAGAGGUAUGAAGCAGGGCACAGCCAAGAGGAACUCAAGCAGUAAGCAGAGUUUACUUAUUAUUUUAAGCAAUGCAAAGCCUGCACUUUUCAUAAUACAGCAGAAGAACAACACAUGACCCUGCCGUGCUAUUUAUUGCAACACCUCUGAGUUAGCAAAAGGUGCCUUUGCUACCCUCACAAAAUGGCCUUUGUCAUUUUUCUUCCUCUGAAGUGCCAGACCUGCCAAUGCUGAAGGAGAUUUUGUUCACAGCACCGCAGCACGUCCUGCUCUGGUGCUGGUGCAAAAAGGAACAGAAAGGACUCACAGACCUGGCUGAAUCCUCAGUUGCAUCUUUCCUCGUUCCGGCUUUAGAGCUAAGCCUACAGUAAGAAGUAAAUGAGUUACUUAAUAUAGAAGAAGAGACGUUAUCCCAGCAGGCAGAAAGACACCGUGGCUGCUCAGAGAACUGUCACCGUGAGGGCCAGGCCUCCUCGGACCCACACAGCUGCUCUCCGGUGACUGACAACAGCCCAGGCACAUCUCCAGCCAUCUUCUGUCCCUCCGGUAGCCACAGGAAACAACUGCAUGAGAAAGCAGUUGAAACAGACUGUUUUCUGUGAAAAAACUAUUACCUUUUCUGCAAAGAGCCACAUUAAUGCCAGGCUAAUGUCCUGAGCAGAAAGCCUGCCCACCCUCUUGAGAAGCAGCAAACACAGGCAGCAGUGGGGCCGGCGCUGCCUUCCUUUCUGUCAUGUACUACUGAGUAACAGCAAAGGGCUGGGGGAGCGAGUGCCAGGGGAUCUGCCAAGCCCCUGCCCGUGAAGCAGGAACCUCUUCUGCACCAGAGAGAAACAGCCUGGAGGUGUCCUGCAGCUCCUGGACAAAAUUAACUCUUACCUUGGCCUUAGCAGGAGGUGCUGUGAAAAAAAAAAAAAGUAGGUAAGAGAACCAGUAGGCUUCAUGUUUGGUGUGUCUGCGCAUUAAACCGUUUUUUUAAAAAAUGCAUCUCCAAAGGGGUGAACGGGGAAAGUCACCAGAGGGAGGAGAAGUUCCCAGAUGGGAUGACUGCUAGGGAGCUCACAGGGUCGGGGCUGGCAGGCUCCUCUGCAGGGCCACUGGCUUCAGUGAGGUGGCAAGCACAUCGCCACAGGGGGCUGAGGGCACGGCUUGGUGCUAAUGGGCAUCCACCGGCUUUGGGUAAGCAAGCAGAUUUCUGCUCUAGAUUUCACAUAUCCUGCCUCUAAUGCUAUAUACAUUUUAAAGUGCAGAGGCUCAACAUAGUAAAUAAGGUGGAAGCAGGUAGCAAGGGUGAAAGCGUUUUACGUACAGUCCUUUUGGAGGUGACAGUGAAGCGCAGCAAGUACCCUGGCAGUAAAUGUGUGUCACGGCGAUUUGUCUCAACUCCUGCAGAGGCAAUUUAACGUCAUUUCAGUAAUGGUGUGUCAAGAACACGCAGGAAUUCAUUCUAGCAUCCGCAUAACUUUUAUUUAUUUAUUUAUUGCUGUCAAUAUGCAGGGUAAAGGAAGACCCGCUGUGGCCGCCUCCUGAGUACAAUAAUUGUGUAAAUUCUGAUGUUGUGGCAUUUGAUGGUAAUAGACCAAAGGGGCUGCAUUCACAAGCCACUGGGUGAUUUUCCUAACUGCCUGGGCUGCAGAUGCAUUCUUUGGCUGUACUCUUGUCUGUACUUUCCAGCACCACACAACAAAGACCUUGUAACUGGAAAAUAGCCAGAUAUGAUGUUAGGGCAGUGCAAAGGGAAAAAACAGCUCUGGACUGGUAAUGAAUGAAUUUGGUGGCCAGAAGCACAGCCUGGGGCUGGCCUGUGUCACAACCCACCACACAGGGCAGGCUAUCAGCCCCUUGGUGUCACUUGGCACAGAGGGCAUGUGUAAUACCCAGGGGAACUGGUGAGUGUUACAGCCCUGAGAAGCCCAGUAAACCUGCACUUCAGAUUCCCAAGCCCCUCUACUGCUAGAUUCAUCACCUUUGUAUCUUUUAUGGCUUUGUUUCCUGAUUUAUAUCACAGGGAUAAGUGUCGCUGAGUGUGCUUGUCAUGGGCUCUGUGAGUACUAAGCAGUGCUGAUAGUAUAGCACAGAUAAUUAUUAGCCAGCUACUUGCAUAAAGGAGUAGUGGGAGAGGCUGUAAGGUUUGCACAGCAAAGCCAUCCCUCUUUUGUAACAUACAAGAUAACCACCUGCAGGCCAAAUCCUCUGCUGUAAUAACCUCGUGGUGAGCACUGGGGAACACACAGAGGCCAACCAGAAGCCCACCGCUGAACAAGCUGCCCCCAGCGCCUCUCCCAUUCCAGCCUUGACUUGCUGGAGGCCCAGGCUGCACCAAGAUAGCCCAGGCUGCAACUAAGAGAGCUGGCAGAGAGCAGUACAAAGUCCUGGGUACAGACCAUUCACUGCAGCCCACACACAGGUGGAUUUUCCCACAGCUGCACUGCCCUGACAUUCUGCUGCUGACAGCGUUUAAGUUGCAAAGUGUUGGCAGGUUUCAUUGCUGGACAGUCCUCAUCCACCUGUCCUGAAGCUUGUUUUCCAGAGGUGAUGAGGAAGCCACCAGAGCUGAGUCAAAGACUCCUACACAUUGAACUUGCCUGUAGAUAGCACCUUCUGUACAUAGCUGUGCUCCUCCUCCCAGCAGCGACACGGCCAGCUGUUCCAGUGCAAAAAAGUGCAAAGGUGGCCUCAGGAUGUUGUAACCACAGCCAGCAUAGCAUUACCCUCCCUCCAGCUUGCAGCAAUGCUGCUGAGUUACCUAUAGGAUCUACUUUGCACGUGAUUCUUCUUGGAGCCAAAUCCACAGCAUCCCCAGGUUGCCUUCACCUUGCGCUGCUACUGCUUGCUUGAGAUGUUGCUGCAUCAGGAGCUUGCCCCGUGGCUGAUAUUACAGCCUGUGCCUGGGAGGCUGGGGCUGCUGCAGUCUUCAAGAAGUGUGCCAUGAAGCAUGCCCCAUGGAAGUGCUGAUGAGCAGGGGUGCUCAGCGAGCCAGUUCCUAGUGGAGAUCAGGCAAAACAGGGCAAGCUCUGCCCGGCUCGGGUGGCUGCUCCAGCUGGACCAUGGACUAACGACGGGUUUCUCAGAAGCACUCGUGUCGGGCAGGCAGACUAGGCAGGAAAGAAAAGAGGCACUUCCUAAGCUAAGGUCUGUGGUCACUGUCACAUGGUAUCUUGGCAAAACGUAAGCAGCUGAAGCUAAGAGAUGUGAUCUGCAGUGGUCAGCAGGGGAGGUCUGCCAGGCUACGGGGAGCAUCCAAAGUAAAGCAAAGCCACUAACUGAGGGAAUUGCCUACACACAACUUCGCCUCACCUUCCUCACCAAAGGACAUAUCUCCCUUCUGACCCUAGUGCCUGAUGGCUUAGCUUUUGCAGAGCUGAAUGGCAAGUUGAGAUCAGAAGUCCCCUCCCAGCAAGAGUCACUUUUCGUUCCCUGAAGCUGAAUCUUUUUGUGACCUCAUGAUUUGGUAGAGAGUCUCGCGGAAGUGGUGGUGCCGGCUCAGUCUUUUGGCUGCCUCCUUCAGCUCCUCAAUGUUUUCAGCUUCUGCAUGCGAGAACAUGAAGGACUGGGACUGCUUCACUGAAACAAGAGCAGCACAGAAAGGUCAGCACACUCAGCCAGGGACACAAACCCAAGUUUCAACAGAGCACACAAGCUUCUACUAUCUGAAGUAGAUAGUAGAAGCUAUCUACUUCUGCAGGACAUGGAGGAAGAAGUUGCCCAAUACCUACAGUCAUUCCACGAAGUGCUGGUUCUCCGGCGGUGAAGGCGGCAGCUCUUUAUGCGGCGAGUGGCAGCCUUGUGGAUGUACACCUGAGUUCUUCAUGAUCACAGGCAUCUUGGCCUCCAGCUCAGCGUUGCGGAUGCACUCUUCAAAGAACCCUGAGGAGAGGACACCUCUCUGAGCAAUAAAUGACACUGCAAGCAAAGAACCAGUCAAGAGGAACUGCACCUGCUGACAGACUGAGACAAGUGAUGAUGUUCAACACUUCCCCAGAUCUUCACAGACAAAAAUCUAUGAAGCUCCAGAACAUCAUCAAGUUUGGAACAACAGAAAUCUCCAGUGCCAUAACUCAAAUUAGAGAAAGAAUGGCAACCAUCCAUUCCCCCUUAAUACUUUCCACAGCUUUCUAAUCCUUUCCAUUUAACUGCUGGAAGGCAGUUUACUCUCCAUGAUAUUAAGAUUAAAUUUAUCAGCUGUCUCAAAACAGAGAGCUCUGAAGCCUGGCUGGUUGCAUUUUCCUUGAAGAAAUUCUAAAGCCAGAGAAGCCUAGCUGGGGAAAUAGAGGAGUUAGAAACACUGUCAUGCACACCCAGGUGUGCCGUGCGUGGCCAGGGAUUUCUUAAUAGCACAUGCA